rnacentral:tRNA from 1 species
GCGCGGGUCGCCAAGCGGCUAAGGCACAAGGCUGCAACCCUUGUAUCGUGAGUUCGAGUCUCACCCCGCGCU